AUUGAACGCUGGCGGCGUGCCUAACACAUGCAAGUCGAGCGGUAACAGGUGUAGCAAUACAUGCUGACGAGCGGCGGACGGGUGAGUAACGCUUGGGAAUCUGCCUGUUAGUGGGGGACAACCCGGGGAAACUCGGGCUAAUACCGCAUACGCACUACGGUGGAAAGCCGGGGACCGCAAGGCCUGGCGCUAACAGAUGA
rnacentral:rRNA from 1 species